AGCAACAGCUGCGUGCAGAGUGUGGCCCGCACGAGUAGAUUUGGACACAUUCUCGAGGAGUCCUUCAUUUCGCAACCCCAAAAAAAUCGAAUUUUUGUAGGUCACAUUCUUGAAAGUAGUAGUGGAGCUUCUGAAAAGUGGAUUUGUUCCCUGCAGCAAAAAUGGAAAAAAGACCUCCCUCCUCCGUAGUCGGGUUUG